rnacentral:rRNA from 1 species
CCUACGGGAGGCUGCAGUGGGGAAUAUUGGACAAUGGGGGGAACCCUGAUCCAGCCAUGCCGCGUGUGUGAAGAAGGCCCUCGGGUUGUAAAGCACUUUCAGUGAGGAAGAACGCCUGGUGGUUAAUACCCAUCAGGAAAGACAUCACUCACAGAAGAAGCACCGGCUAACUCCGUGCCAGCAGCCGCGGUAAUACGGAGGGUGCGAGCGUUAAUCGGAAUUACUGGGCGUAAAGCGCGCGUAGGUGGCUUGAUAAGCCGGCUGUGAAAGCCCCGGGCUCAACCUGGGAACGGCAUCCGGAACUGUCAAGCUAGAGUGCAGGAGAGGAAGGUAGAAUUCCCGGUGUAGCGGUGAAAUGCGUAGAGAUCGGGAGGAAUACCAGUGGCGAAGGCGGCCUUCUGGACUGACACUGACACUGAGGUGCGAAAGCGUGGGUAGCAAACAGGAUUAAUACCCGAGUAGUC